rnacentral:rRNA from 1 species
UACGUAGGGGGCUAGCGUUGUCCGGAUUUAUUGGGCGUAAAGGGCGCGUAGGCGGCCUUCUAAGUCGAACGUGAAAUCCCCGGGCUCAACCCGGGAACUGCGUCCGAUACUGGAAGGCUUGAAUCCGGGAGAGGGAUGCGGAAUUCCAGGUGUAGCGGUGAAAUGCGUAGAUAUCUGGAGGAACACCGGUGGCGAAGGCGGCAGCCUGGACCGGCAUUGACGCUGAGGCGCGAAAGCCAGGGGAGCAAACGGG